rnacentral:rRNA from 1 species
GGUUAAGCGACUAAGCGUACACGGUGGAUGCCUAGGCAAUCAGAGGCGAUGAAGGACGUGCUAAUCUGCGAUAAGCGUCGGUAAGGUGAUAUGAACCGUUACAACCGACGAUUUCCGAAUGGGGAAACCCAGUGCAAUUCGUUGCACUAUCGUUUGAUGAAUACAUAGUCAAACGAAGCGAACCGGGGGAACUGAAACAUCUCAGUACCCCGAGGAAAAGAAAUCAACCGAGAUUCCCCUAGUAGCGGCGAGCGAACGGGGAGCAGCCCAGAGUCUUAAUCAGCAUUAGCAUCAGGAGAACGGUCUGGAAAGUCCGGCAGUAAAGGGUGAUAGCCCCGUAUCCGAAGGUGUUAGUGUUGUGAACUCGACGAGUAGGGCGGGACACGUGUUAUCCUGUCUGAAUAUGGGGGGACCAUCCUCCAAGGCUAAAUACUCCUGAUUGACCGAUAGUGAACCAGUACCGUGAGGGAAAGGCGAAAAGAACCCCGGCGAGGGGAGUGAAAUAGAACCUGAAACCGUGUACGUACAAGCAGUGGGAGCCCCAUCACUCAAGUGCCUCGGCAAUUGAGUGAUGGCUUAAUAACACCACAAGAGCAGCGCAGAAUUUGCCAACAAGAUUGGUCGAUUUUUUCAAGCCGUCGCGCAGUGUACAUAGAAGUACACGAGCAGCGGAAGUUAAAAAAUCGGGCAAGAUUGGCCGCAAAGACAAGCGGGACAUUUGAGGAUGGGGUGACUGCGUACCUUUUGUAUAAUGGGUCAGCGACUUAUAUUCUGUAGCAAGGUUAACCGUAUAGGGGAGCCGUAGGGAAACCGAGUCUUAACUGGGCGAAUAAGUUGCAGGGUAUAGACCCGAAACCCGGUGAUCUAGCCAUGGGCAGGUUGAAGGUUGGGUAACACUAACUGGAGGACCGAACCGA